GAACUACUUCCUCCGUUCAGAAUUACUCGUCCAAGAAAUAAAUGUGUCUAGAUGUAUUUUAGUUGUAGAUACAUCAAUUUUUAUUCAUUUUUGUGACAAGUAAUUCCGAACGAAGGGAGUACUUG
rfam:Triticum aestivum genome assembly, contig: Triticum_aestivum_CS42_TGACv1_scaffold_331478_4BS